CGGAACGGGUGAGUAACGCGUGAGGAACCUGCCUCAAAGAGGGGGACAACAGUUGGAAACGGCUGCUAAUACCGCAUAAGCCCACGGCUCGGCAUCGAGCAGAGGGAAAAGGAGCAAUCCGCUUUGAGAUGGCCUCGCGUCCGAUUAGCUAGUUGGUGAGGUAAUGGCCCACCAAGGCAACGAUCGGUAGCCGGACUGAGAGGUUGAACGGCCACAUUGGGACUGAGACACGGCCCAA
rnacentral:rRNA from 1 species